rnacentral:lncRNA from 1 species
GCGGCGCUGUCAGGGAUGGCAACAGGCGGUCUCUGUGCUGUGUUUACUGGCACAACGCUGGAUCGGUGAAAGGGUGAAGACACUACCGUUUUUUAAGAAUUUAAGUAAAGAUUUUAGUUGUUGUUUUUUUUAUCUUUUUUUUAAAUAGUUCCUGUUGAAGUUCUGCCUUUUAUCUUAUCUGUCUACUGCGUCUGAGGCGAGCAGAUGGCACACUACCAUAAUCUGCUUUCCUCUCAUGAGCCAUGUGCUUGAGUAGAGACAGCCUGUGUAAGUAUUCCAGACGACCACAGCAGGCCCAAAUCCUAGCUAUCAUGUGAAGGCUUUGACCUCCUCCUGGACAUCGUACCAUUAAGCUGUGCUGCCUUACCCAAGGCGCUGAACUGCGAAAAAAAGGAGGGAAAAAUGUCGCCCCCGGCACGACCAUCAUUAUUUAUUUAACGUCGCUACAUCAGGAGGCCUCUUUGCUGCCGAGGAUGUAUUGGCUCCACAGGCACAGAGGA